UAGGGAAUCUUCCGCAAUGGGCGAAAGCCUGACGGAGCAACGCCGCGUGAGUGAUGAAGGUCUUCGGAUCGUAAAACUCUGUUAUUAGGGAAGAACAAAUGUGUAAGUAACUAUGCACGUCUUGACGGUACCUAAUCAGAAAGCCACGGCUAACUACGUGCCAGCAGCCGCGGUAAUACGUAGGUGGCAAGCGUUAUCCGGCAUUAUUGGGCGUAAAGCGCGCGUCGGCGGUUUUUUAAGUCUGAUGUGAAAGCCCACGGCUCAACCGUGGAGGGUAAGUGGAAACUGGAAAACUUGAGUGCAGAAGAGGAAAGAGGAAUUCCAUGUGUAGCGGUGAAAUGCGCAGAGAUAUGGAGGAACACCAGUGGCGAAGGCGACUUUCUGGUCUGUAACUGACGCUGAUGUGCGAAAGCGUGGGGAUCAAACAGG
rnacentral:rRNA from 1 species